UUUAAACAGGACGUGCAGUGCACUUCAAAAUAUUUGACAUGCUUCCCAUCACACACCAAAAUAGGUGCAUGGGACAAAGACAUCAAUCCAUAAACCAUUAUCCCUCCCAAAACUCGUAUAUAAUUGCUGAUUACUAAGAGGUUGGGCUGCAUAGUGAUAGGAUACCAGUUGAAGGAACAAGAUCAAAUACUGAAUAAGCAACUCUUGAUUAAAGAAAAGACUGAUUACAGAAAAUAAGAGAACAAUUCUAAGCUUUCGAGAGGCUUAGAUCUCUCCCCCUUGACUCAACAUCAACGUGAAUGCCUAAUCCCCCAACCCCCAUUUCCAUUUAUAAGCAAUAUCUACUCGACUUAUUACAUUUUUGACCCUACAAACUAACUAGCGAACCUUCUAGACUACAAUGACGUGGCAGCACCCAUGUGAACUGGAUUGGCAUCUAUCAUUACCGGCCGCCUCAAAAUCCACCUUGUCCUCAAGGUGGAGAUGGGGUUGAACUUCAAAAUUUGAAAUUCCAUAUAGGUGAACCAUUUUUGGAGUGAACUCGUAGUUGUGCCGUCCACCAACAGUUAAAAUGUUAUUCAUACAAACUCCAUAACCAGUCGUACCCCUUUGCGGGAUUUCCAAAAACUGAACCAAGGUGAUAGGAAAUUCGUAGCUCGUAUUUUCUGUGGUCUGCAGCUCCAAAGUCCAAAUCCCACCAUCAACGCUCUGGACCACUUCCUUGCCCAAGUCCAAAUCCAUCGAGUCCAGUAACUUCCCAUCAUUCUUCUUCUUCUCCAGUUUCAGCACAUUACCAGAGAAAUUCCUCCCCUCGAUGAGCUCCGACAUCUUCUCCUCGGGCGGCUUUUUCUCUGCAGGCUUCGUCCAGUAGUCCCAAUCAGAAAAUUGAUUCCUAUUAAAGUAUCUCUCCGCCCUAAAAAGCCACUUGUCGAGGAUUUCGCCGUUGAAAUCCGGCAUCUCCAAUUUCCGGCCUCGAUUCUCAGAUUGCCAUGUCUCAUUGAGACGGCUCCUGCCUUUCACUUGAGCCCAGAUUUCCUCGAUUUUGAGGGGAAUUUUAGUACUAAGAGGGGGCUUAGGCGAGCUAGCUAUCACUCCUUCCUUUCUGACCUUCACCCUCUCCAACGAAUAAUCUGGUGUAUUUUGGGCUAUAUGUAGUUAUUGGGCCUGAAAUAAUUUGGGCCUCUUUUAAAGAUUUACUACUAUCAUUAACCCAUUGGGCUAGCUCCAUAUUAUGGUCCAGGUCUGGAGGUUUUAGCCUUAAAACUUCAGCCCUAAUGAUUGGGUUCAGCCUAAUAAUAAAGCUGCCUUCCCUCACCGAUUCAGAACUUGCUCGUAAUGGAGCUGCAAGUACUUCGAAUUGCCUUCGGUGAUCCCUGUCUGUCUCCUCUUGCCUCAACGCCAUAAAAUUCUCCAGAAUUGUCCCUUCGUUUGACGGUUGAGAGUGUUUGAGCAACAAUAUCUUUAGUUCUUCCCAACUUAUCAAUGGCUGCCGGAUCUCUUCUCUAAAACAACUGCCGGUGAUAUUAUCUCCCAUGAACCGCGGCAUUUCUGGUGGUCGACUUUCAUUUUCUACUUCCCCAAACUCCUCUCGACGAAUCCUUACUGCUAUGCUUUUUCCUGCCUCGUGGGUUUUAAGUGGAAUCUCCGAAUCGACUGUGGUUUCAGUCGAAUUGGUUGUGAGUCCCUUUUCCUUCCUGUCCUGUUCUAGUCCUUCCCAUUUCUUCGUCAUCACUUCAAACUUCUCCAGCAACCUGGACAUAUCCUUUCGGAUCUCAGACUUCAUUACUCCAAUCUCUUCCUGGAAAUGUGAUUGCAGUUCAUCGAUCCUUGAUUUCAAAUUAAUAACCCGGACUUCUACCUGCUUUUCUUCAUCGGAUGUAACACCCCAGGGCCAGAAUGGUUGCUCUGAUACCAUUUGAUAGGACACCAGUUGAAGGAACAAGAUCAAAUACUAAAGAAGCAACUCUUGAUUAAAGAAAAGACUGAUUACAGAAAAUAAGAGAACAAUUCUAAACUUUCGAGAGGCUUAGAUCUCUCCCCCUUGACUCAACAUCAACGUGCAUGCCUAAUCCCCCAACCCCCAUUUCCAUUUAUAAGCAAUAUCUACUCGACUUAUUACAUUUUUGACCCUACAAACUAACUAGUGAACCUUCUAGACUACAAUGACGUGGCAGCACCCAUGUGAACUAGAUUGGCAUCUAUCAUAUAGCUCAAAACUCCUUGUCCUAGUAUUCUAUAUAUAUGUUAUGACAUAAUAUGAAGUACAGUGCUGCAACAGCUAAAAAAAAUGCUUUCUUCUUGACUCUUGUUAACUAAUAACUUUUUCCUUCUAGCAAAUUGUGUCCCAGUAUUUCAGUUUCC
rnacentral:lncRNA from 1 species